AUGCUUGCUUCUUUUCUUUUGGUCUUCUAUCUUGUUAAUUGGUCUACUUAUUUCUAUAAUGUGAUUAUGCUUACUUUUGGGGAAGGUGUUAUAAAGAAUCUUACCAAAGGAAAGGGUGACCCAUCGGCGAUUUUUUCUUUCAACAUCAAAGGAUAUUCUGUGUUGCACACGGCGGCAUGUUUUGCACAACUGGAGGUUUGCAAGUAUUUGGUGGAGGAGCUUAAUGGAGAUGUAAAUGCUCCUGGAUAUGGAACUGGUGCUCUAGCAGCUGCAACUCCAUUUAUGUUGUCAGCCUCGUCUGAUGAUGUUGCUACAGUCAAGUAUUUUCUUGAUCAUGAUGGUGAUAUAUUAAAGCAGAUGACAAAGGACGCAGAGUUCUCCACCAUGUUGUGGCUGCAGGAUGCUGCAAGGUGA
rnacentral:rRNA from 1 species